UUCAAUCAUUCUGGCGACCGACAACAACAGCGAUAUAAUUUGAAACCAUGAUAUUGAAGGACAAGCAAUGGAGGCCACAUGCUUGGCAGUGCUCUGUUGUUGGGGAGCUUGUUGAAAUGUUCUGCCUGACUGCAAGUGUUGUCCACCAUUUUGCUGUGUUUGGCGAUAAGAAGGAC